GAGUUUGAUCAUGGCUCAGAUUGAACGCUGGCGGCAUGCCUUACACAUGCAAGUCGAACGGCAGCACGGGAGCUUGCUCCUGGUGGCGAGUGGCGAACGGGUGAGUAAUGCAUCGGAACGUAUCCUGGAGUGGGGGAUAACGUAGCGAAAGUUACGCUAAUACCGCAUAUUCUGUGAGCAGGAAAGCGGGGGACCUUCGGGCCUCGCGCUCUUGGAGCGGCCGAUGUCGGAUUAGCUAGUUGGUGAGGUAAAGGCUCACCAAGGCGACGAUCCGUAGCAGGUCUGAGAGGAUGAUCUGCCACACUGGAACUGAGACACGGUCCAGACUCCUACGGGAGGCAGCAGUGGGGAAUUUUGGACAAUGGGGGCAACCCUGACUCCAGCCAUCGCCGCGUGAGUAGAA
rnacentral:rRNA from 1 species